rnacentral:rRNA from 1 species
GACGAACGCUGGCGGCGUGCUUAACACAUGCAAGUCGAACGAAGCUUGAUUACGGAUUCUUCGGUUGAAGUAUGAUAUGACUGAGUGGCGGGCGGGUGAGUAACACGUGAGUAACCUGCCCUUCAGAGGGGGAUAGCGUUUGGAAACGAACGGUAAUACCGCAUAAUGUAUUUUGACCGCAUGAUCGACAUACCAAAGAUUUAUCGCCGAAGGAUGGACUGGCGAAUGAUUAGGUAGUUGGUGGGGUAACGGCCGACCACGCCGACGAUCAGUAGCCGUGGAGCGAGGACGCGCGGCCACAUUGUGACUGAGGCACGGCCCAGACUCCUACGGGAGGCAGCAGUGGGGAAUAUUGCACAAUGGGCGCAAGCCUGAUGCAGCAACGCCGCGUGAAGGAAGUCUGUUGUCGGAGUGUAAACUUCUGUUCUUAGUGAAGAAUAAUGACGGUAGCUAAGGAGCAAGCCACGGCUAACUACGUG